rnacentral:rRNA from 1 species
GUGUGCAAGCGUUGUCCGGAUUUACUGGGCGUAAAGCGUAUGCAGGCGGAUACUUAAGUAGGAAGUGAAAGGUGGGAGCUCAACUCCCACAUUGCUCCCUAUACUGGGUGUCUUGAGUGGCGGAGAGGGAGAUGGAACGACACGUGUAGCGGUGAAAUGCGUUGAUAUGUGUCGGAACACCAAUGGCGAAAGCAAUCUCCUGGACGCAAACUGACGCUGAGAUACGAAAGCCAAGGUAGCAAACAGGAUUAGAUACCCUGGUAGUCUUGGCCAUAAACGAUGUUCACUAGGUGUUGGGGCUUUGCCUCGGUGCCGCAGCUAACGCAUUAAGUGAACCGCCUGGGAACUACGAUCGCAAGAUUA